UGGGGAAUUUUGGACAAUGGGCGAAAGCCUGAUCCAGCAAUGCCGCGUGUGUGAAGAAGGCCUUCGGGUUGUAAAGCACUUUUGUCCGGAAAGAAAUCCUUGGCUCUAAUACAGUGCGGGGGAUGACGGUACCCGGAAGAAUAAGCACCGGCUAACUACGUGCCAGCAGCCGCGGUAAUACGUAGGGUGCAAGCGUUAAUCGGAAUUACUGGGCGUAAAGCGUGCGCAGGCGGUUUGCUAAGACCGAUGUGAAAUCCCCCGGGCUCAACCUGGGGAACUGCAUUGGUGACUGGCAGGCUAGAGUAUGGCAGAGGGGGGUAGGAAUUCCACGUGUAGCAGUGAAAUGCGUAGAGAUGUGGAGGAAUACCGAUGGCGAAGGCAGCCCCCCUGGGCC
rnacentral:rRNA from 1 species